UUAUGCAGCAGGUUAUGCACAUUUUGACCACCUUACAUUUUUCAACUUUCAAACUUUAUUUUUGAUGUUUUUGGCUGUAGAAAUCACUCUUCAUUGCCAAAAUUUCUUUUUAGUCUCUCAAAAAUAUCAUUUUUCCUACAAAACAAAAUAAAAUUAUAAAUUAAUCUAAAAAUUGAUAAUUAUAAAAAACUAUCUAAAUAACUAAUAAAAUUGACUAAAAGUGACUAACAAGCGAAUGAAAUGACCAUAAAAUUUAACCUAAAUAACUUUGUAAAAUGCAUGUAUCACCUCUUGCCCAUAAUACAAUCCUGACUGAGCCUACACACAGCCAUUUGUUCAUUCUUCGCAACACAAACAGUAAUUAAAAAGUUACCCCUUCCUCAAUAAUUCACUUCAAGGGCGUUCCUUUAUAUACUACCAGACCAAAUAACAACUCCAUAAUUUUUAAACAGUAUCAAAGUAAUCAAAUCAGAGUCAUCACAGGAAUUAAAAAAACUGACAUAAAAAAAAUCUUAAUCCAAUCAGAUUCUUAGUCCAUCAAACUAUAUGAGCAACCAUCUAUGCCAUACAUAUCAAACUCAAUGAACUCAACUAAAAAAGUCUCAAUUACACACUACAUGGAGUUAGCUAUAUGAAUCCACUUUAUCCAUAUGCUUUGGAAUUUAUCAACCGAUUAUAUCAUUUCAUCUAGCACAUGGAUUGACAUAAUAAAAUUCACUAAUCUCAAUUUAUUAACAUUGACUUUUCUGGGAAAAUAUUUCCAGGAAUUAUUUCAUUGGAAAUAGAAACACACACACUCUCUCUCUC
rnacentral:misc_RNA from 1 species